rfam:Paludibacter jiangxiensis DNA, scaffold: PJIAN_1, strain: NM7.
GAUUACAAUUCUAACCUCUCUGUAAUCGCGGCUG